CCAGACUCCUACGGGAGGCAGCAGUGGGGAAUAUUGCACAAUGGGGGAAACCCUGAUGCAGCGACGCCGCGUGAGUGAAGAAGUAUUUCGGUAUGUAAAGCUCUAUCAGCGGGGAAGAAAAUGACGGUACCUGACUAAGAAGCCCCGGCUAACUACGUGCCAGCAGCCGCGGUAAUACGUAGGGGGCAAGCGUUAUCCGGAUUUACUGGGUGUAAAGGGAGCGUAGACGGCAUGGCAAGUCAGAUGUGAAAGCCCGGGGCUCAACCCCGGGACUGCAUUUGAAACUGUCAGGCUGGAGUGCAGGAGAGGUAAGUGGAAUUCCUAGUGUAGCGGUGAAAUGCGUAGAUAUUAGGAGGAACACCAGUGGCGAAGGCGGCUUGCUGGACGAUGACUGACGUUGAGGCUCGAAAGCGUGGGGGGCAAACAGGAUUAGAUACCCCCGUACC
rnacentral:rRNA from 1 species